rnacentral:rRNA from 1 species
AACGCUGGCGGCGUGCUUAACACAUGCAAGUCGAACGCAGAAAGCCUUUCGGGGUGAGUAUGAGUGGCGGACGGGUGAGUAACGCGUGAGAAUCUGCCUUCAGGAGGGGGACAACAGUUGGAAACGACUGCUAAUACCCCAUAUGCCUACGGGUGAAACAUUUAUGGCCUGAAGAUGAGCUCGCGUCGGAUUAGCUAGUUGGUGAGGUAAGAGCUUACCAAGGCGACGAUCCGUAGCUGGUCUGAGAGGAUGAUCAGCCACACUGGGACUGAGACACGGCCCAGACUCCUACGGGAGGCAGCAGUGGGGAAUUUUCCGCAAUGGGCGAAAGCCUGACGGAGCAACGCCGCGUGCGGGAGGACGGCCUGUGGGUUGUAAACCGCUUUUCUCAGGGAAGAAGAUCUGACGGUACCUGAGGAAUCAGCAUCGGCUAACUCCGUGCCAGCAGCCGCGGUAAUACGGAGGAUGCAAGCGUUAUCCGGAAUUAUUGGGCGUAAAGCGUCCGCAGGCGGUUCAUCAAGUCUGCUGUUAAAGGCCGAGGCUUAACUUCGGUUGAGCAGUGGAAACUGAUGGACUAGAGUGCGAUAGGGGUAGAGGGAAUUCCCAGUGUAGCGGUGAAAUGCGUAGAUAUUGGGAAGAACACCAGUGGCGAAGGCGCUCUACUGGGUCGCAACUGACGCUGAGGGACGAAAGCUAGGGGAGCGAAAGGGAUUAGAUACCCCUGUAGUCCUAGCCGUAAACGAUGGAUACUAGGUGUUGGCCGUAUCGACCCGGUCAGUACCGUAGCUAACGCGUUAAG